rnacentral:lncRNA from 1 species
GGGGGAAAGGCUGAUGGUUUUUAAAUACAUAUACCAUGGUAUUUUUAAUUUAUUUUGUUUUAGGUGAUAUUGGACCAAAUGGACAACCUGGCCCAAUCGGACCUCCUGGGCUGCCAGGAAUUGGUAUUCAGGGACCACCGGGACCACCAGGGACUCCAGGGCCAAUAGGCCAACCUGGCUUACAUGGGAUACCUGGAGAGAAAGGAGAUACAGGACCUCCUGGGUUUGAUGUUCCAGGACCCCCUGGAGAGAGAGGUAUUCCAGGGCUCCCUGGAACCCCUGGUCUUAUAGGACCUCCAGGAUCACCUGGUAUCCCAGGAAAAGCAGGUGUCCAUGGAUUUCCAGGUGCCAAAGGUGAAAUGGGUAUGAUGGGACCUCCAGGCCCACCUGGACCUUUGGGAAUUCCUGGAAUGAAUGGUGCUCCCGGUCUUAAAGGUAAAAAUUGGCGUUUACUGAUAGAUACGUGUGACAAAGAAAAUUAAACACAGUGCU